rnacentral:tRNA from 1 species
GGCUCCAUGGCUCAGUGGCAGAGCGCCUGUCUUGUAAACAGAGAUCGUGGGUUCAAUCACCACUGGAGCCA